CGAUUACGGCUCAGUAACACGUAGCUAACCUACCCUUAGGACGUGGAUACCCCCGAGAAAUUGGGGUUAAUCCGCGAUAGAUGUAAUGUCCUGGAAUGGUAUUACGUCUAAAGGUAUUUCAUACAUGUUUGAAAUAUGCCUAAGGAUGGGGCUGCGGCCGAUCAGGCUGUUGGUGAGGUAAUGGCUCACCAAACCUUUGACCGGUACGGGCCAUGAGAGUGGUAGCCCGGAGAUGGACACUGAGACAAGGGUCCAGGCCCUAAGGGGCGCAGCAACCGCGAAACCUCCACAAUGCACUCACGUGCGAUGGGGCUAUCUCGAGUGCCACCUGAUGAAGGUGGCUUUUCCUUGGUCUUCAAAGCCUUGGGAAUAAGAGGGGGGCAAGACUGGUGUCAGCCGCCGCGGUAACACCAGCCCCUCGAGUGGUGGGGAUGAUUAUUUGGCCUAAAGCGUCCGUAGCCUGCCGAGCAAGUCUUCCGUUAAAUCCAGCGUCUCAAGCGUUGGACCGCGGGAGAUACUACACGGCUAGAGAGUGGGAGAGGUCAGCGGUAUGCUGGGGGUAGGGGCGAAAUCCUUUGAUCCCCGGAGGACCACCAGUGGCGAAGGCUG
rnacentral:rRNA from 1 species